rnacentral:lncRNA from 1 species
CACCGGCUGACGAAGCCCUUGCCCCGAUGAGUCAAAUUAGGUUAAAUUAGGGUUAAAUUAGGUUCAAUUAGGGUUGAAUCUUGUUUUUUACGGUCCAAUUAGGGUUAAAUCAUGUUGUUUAUGUUUAGUUAUGGUUUAAAUAUUGUUGUUUAUGUUUAUUUCUAUAGUUAAUUAGAGGUGAAUCUUGCUAUUUUUUUUAAUUAGGGUUGAAUCUUGCUGUUUAUGUUUAGUUAGGGUUUAAAUAUUGUUGUUUAUGUUUAGUUCUAUAGUUAAUUAGGGUUGAAUCUUGCUGUUUUUUUAAUUAGGGUUGAAUCUUGCUGUUUAUGUUUAGUUAGGGUUUAAAUAUUGUUGUUUAUGUUUAGUUCUAUAAUUAACUAGGGUUGAAUCUUGAUGUUUAUGUUUAAUUAGGGUUUAAACAUUGUUGUUUAUGUUUAGUUCUAUCCAUUUAGGGUUUAUAUUGCUGUUUAUGGUUAAGUAUUGAUGUUAUUGUUGUUUUUGGUUAAAUGAUACAUGCAUGUGAUCCCGACCAUCGUGUCGGUUGAUAUGAGCAAUGUGGGCCCGGCCAUCGUGCCGGGUCAUUGAGAUGGGUCCGGCCAUUGUGCUGAGAGGGUAUAUGUGGGUGGGAAAUUUUUUUAUGCAGGUAUAAAAUACGGGUAGACUCAUUUGUUGUUUUACAUCAAUGGUCAUGCCGAAAUUUUCCGUUUUUUUUUAAAUUACUUUUAUAAGUGUUCGAUAGGAACCUUAGGCUCACGUUGAAGAGGUGCAUGAGCAGCCACCGGUUGUGGAGGGAGAAGUCUGAGAAGAAGUGGGGGCAUUUACCUCGGGGGCAUCUUCCUCAGGCUCGGAAAUUGCCAUGAGCGAUGGCUUCGAGCACGGCGAAGAAGGAGCCGAGGAGCAGCUGUUCCUUGAAGGAGUCGAGGAGCCCCAGGGUGUG